AUAUUGACAACCCAAAAUCAGAGUGUUCAUCUUGUCACCGAUUAAAGGAAUAUGGACGUGGCUAUUCAUUCUUCAAGUUCCCAUUGGAUGAACCUGAUAUUAUGAAGCAAUGGAUCGCAAAUAUAAACAUUGGACCGUGGUCUCCAUCAAGUGAUAGCUUUCUGUGUUCCGACCACUUUGAACUCUCUUGCUUUCAGAAGAAAAGUAAAAAUUAUAUAACUUUACGAAAAGGCAGUAUCCCAACGUUAUUUGGUGAAAACUUGCAGCAGACCGAAUUUCAGGAUGAAUCAGAUCGGCCCACCACAGUGAAUGUAACCAAAUUACAUGA
rnacentral:lncRNA from 1 species